CCAUGACAGGUGCGCUUGCAUGGCAGGUCACCAAAAUUCUUAAUAAAAUUUUUGAUUUCGUGUUUUUUGAGGGGAGAUCGCACGGGAAUUGCCCGGGUUCUCCUCUCUCUGGUGUGAUUUGUUCCGCUUUCUUAUUUUAUUUCUCCUCCAAAAUUCCAAUCCGUAACUGAUAUACCAGAGCUCUCUUGAAGCGCGUCAACAAUUCACAACUUGAAGGCUUUUGCUCUCAAGGUAUUCUCUAACUGAUCUCCCGUAUUCGAAUUUGUUCAAAAGGCCUUCCUGAAUUAUAUUGCUCAAAUCUACAUUUGCAACAUGCUUGCUAGCUAUUCGGGGCAAUGCUUCUCUUUGACUUUAAUUUUCUAAAUGGGUAUAACUAAAUAAUAUUUUGGAUGUUUGAAAUUGGCAGUUUUCAUAGAUUGUGGAGUUCUUCGAA
rnacentral:misc_RNA from 1 species